GCCAGUGUGGCAUAGUGGUUUGAGUGUUAGUCUACAACUCUAGAGGCCAGGGUUUGAUUCCCACCUCGAUU